GAUGAACGCUGGCGGCGUGCCUAACACAUGCAAGUCGAGCGAUUCUCUUCGGAGAAGAGCGGCGGACGGGUGAGUAACGCGUGGGUAACCUGCCCUGUACACACGGAUAACAUACCGAAAGGUAUGCUAAUACGGGAUAACAUAAGAAAUUCGCAUGUUUUUCUUAUCAAAGCUCCGGCGGUACAGGAUGGACCCGCGUCUGAUUAGCUAGUUGGUGAGGUAACGGCUCACCAAGGCGACGAUCAGUAGCCGACCUGAGAGGGUGAUCGGCCACAUUGGAACUGAGACACGGUCCAAACUCCUACGGGAGGCAGCAGUGGGGAAUAUUGCACAAUGGGCGAAAGCCUGAUGCAGCAACGCCGCGUGAGCGAUGAAGGCCUUCGGGUCGUAAAGCUCUGUCCUCAAGGAAGAUAAUGACGGUACUUGAGGAGGAAGCCCCGGCUAACUACGUGCCAGCCGCCGCGGUAAUAC
rnacentral:rRNA from 1 species